GCAAUUUCAUUUUCCACACCCCCGCGCAAACUCUUCAGAGAAACUUGCCCGACUGGAGUCACAUAGGAGUCAUCUCACUGUACAUAUAUUGUUGCGAAAUAUUUAUGAAAAGAUCAUCUUUACUUUGCUGAGCGACGUUAACUAUUUAUCACAGGAUUCUUCCUACAUAAUGUCGUGUUCAAAAUAUAAGGGGAAACUUUUCUCCUUUAAGCACAAUUGCUUCAAAUAUCAAUGUAAACAUUUUUCUUUUUUCUUGUUAGGUUAGGUGCAAUUGUCAUAAGUCAUAAAUAUUUGACCGAAAUUUCAUGUCGGCCGGUUUUUUUUAUUUAAUAAACGAAACCGUUUUUUAUAAUUCUUAAAAAUUAUUUUCGACGAAUUUCGACAAUGAAUGAUUUUAUUGAAUAAAGCGUUCAUAUUAAAAGCUAUUCAAAGAAUGCAACUGCUUGGGCGAAUGCAUUAAAGAUUUUAAGAGAAUGUUACGUUUAUGAAACAAUGGCACAAUCGAAGGUCUACAAGUGAUAGAGAAGCAUGGGCAGCCCAGCAUCUUGUACUGUUGGUGGAAACAUCAAUAUAAAAUCAAUUAUCGAUUAGAUGCAGUUGUCUCGUUUGCCUUCUUGUUUUUUAUUUUUUUUUUACAGACCAUUGUGUCUAAGUUGAAGUGGUUGCAGAAGUGUUUGAGCGAUGAUAAUGAUCGCACAAUAAAGGCAAUCAAAGGAAUAUCAUACUACAGCUGAAUCGAACGCGUCAAAGCAAAUCAACAAUCGUCGUAUAUUGCAUUAAUUGUUUUCUUCAAUUAUUGUCAUAUUAUCCAUAAAGGAGUUGCAUCCACAGGAUCAAACAGUUAAUGAGGAAUGCUACCUAUGCGGAUGCUCGGUGUUGUUUGCGUGAUUGUAUUUUAUUUCUACUUAACGAGAAAACACCUUUGCAUACAUCAAUUAAAUUGUGAUACAACUUGUCCCCGUCGAGCCGCCCGUAAUCGCAUGAUAUAACUCCCAAAACGUAUAACUUUUCUUUACGAUUAAAAAGGCCGCCCAACGUUGGUGUUUGGAAUAGAUUGGAUUGACAAACGUGAUAUUUUUUUAAGAAACUCUUAACGUGUGCCCUCAAUUACACUUACAUAUAAUAAAUGCUGGCAAUGUCAUAAUCAAUUUCUUCAUUCAGGCUUACUAUGGCUUCUCGUUUAUUGACGAGUAGUUUAUUUAAAGAAACAAGCCAUCGCUGGCAGUCCACAUCAUCUCAACGUCUGAUUGUCUUCACGCGACAAGCCAUAUCAACGGUCCGGUGACUAAGCCCUUUAAAAAAGCACACUUUGAGCCAAAUCCGAACGUACGCCACAAAAGAGUUAUCAACUAAACCAUAAUUCACUUACGCAAACAUACACUACCCACAACUACAAUGUAAACGAAUUAUACUCUAGUUUAAAACCUAAACGUUCAUACGUAGGGAAACAAUAUAUAUAUAUAUAUAUAUAUAUAUAUGUAUAUAUAUGUAUAUUU